AAUACAGAGGUCCCGAGCGUUGUUCGGAUUCACUGGGCGUAAAGGGUGCGUAGGUGGCAUGGUAAGUUUGAUGUGAAAGCUCAGGGCUCAACCCUGAAAUGGCAUUGAAUACUACUGUGCUGGAGGUUUGGAGGGGGGACUGGAAUUCUUGGUGUAGCAGUGAAAUGCGUAGAUAUCAAGAGGAACACCAGUGGCGAAGGCGAGUCCCUGGACAACACCUGACACUGAGGCACGAAAGCCGGGGGAGCAAACAG
rnacentral:rRNA from 1 species